GAUGAUCGCUGACAGAAUGCUUAACACAUGCAAGUCCACUUGAAUUUGGGUUUUUAACUUAGGUUUGGGUGGCGGACGGGUGAGUAACGCGUAAAGAACUUGCCUCACAGCUAGGGACAACAUUUGUAAACGAAUGCUAAUACCUAAUAUUAUGAUAAUAGGGCAUCCUAUAAUUAUGAAAGCUAUAAGCGCUGUGAGAGAGCUUUGCGUCCCAUUAGCUAGUUGGAGAGGUAACGGCUCACCAAGGCGAUGAUGGGUAGCCGGCCUGAGAGGGUGAUCGGCCACAAGGGGACUGAGACACGGCCCUUACUCCUACGGGAGGCAGCAGUGGGGAAUAUUGGACAAUGGACCGAGAGUCUGAUCCAGCAAUUCUGUGUGCACGAUGAAGUUUUUCGGAAUGUAAAGUGCUUUCAGUUGGGAAGAAACAAAUGACGGUACCAACAGAAGAAGUGACGGCUAAAUACGUG
rnacentral:rRNA from 1 species